UCGACGGGAAACCUUUUAUUGAAGCUUCGGCAGAUUUAGCUGGUUUCUAGCUGUCGGACGGGUGAGUAACGCGUGGGUAACCUGCCCUAUACAGGGGGAUAACAACCAGAAAUGGUUGCUAAUACCGCAUAAGCGCACAGGACCGCAUGGUCCGGUGUGAAAAACUCCGGUGGUAUAGGAUGGACCCGCGUUGGAUUAGCCAGUUGGCAGGGUAACGGCCUACCAAAGCGACGAUCCAUAGCCGGCCUGAGAGGGUGAACGGCCACAUUGGGACUGAGACACGGCCCAGACUCCUACGGGAGGCAGCAGUGGGGAAUAUUGCACAAUGGGGGAAACCCUGAUGCAGCGACGCCGCGUGAAGGAAGAAGUAUCUCGGUAUGUAAACUUCUAUCAGCAGGGAAGAUAGUGACGGUACCUGACUAAGAAGCCCCGGCUAACUACGUGCCAGCAGCCGCGGUAAUACGUAGGGGGCAAGCGUUAUCCGGAUUUACUGGGUGUAAAGGGAGCGUAGACGGAUUAGCAAGUCUGAUGUGAAAGGCAGGGGCUCAACCCCUGGACUGCAUUGGAAACUGCCAGUCUUGAGUGCCGGAGAGGUAAGCGGAAUUCCUAGUGUAGCGGUGAAAUGCGUAGAUAUUAGGAGGAACACCAGUGGCGAAGGCGGCUUACUGGACGGCAACUGACGUUGAGGCUCGAAAGCGUGGGGAGCAAACAGGAUU
rnacentral:rRNA from 1 species